AGGCAUAAUUACCACCUGGGAGCAGCGAGGAGCAGAACAGAGCACGUGGAGGGAGACGAGGAAACACACACACACACUCACACACACACGCUGAGCGCAUGGAGGGAGACCUGCUGAGGAAUUAUAUCCCCCGUGGUUUUAUUCUUUAUUUAUCAAGUGCCGUGAACACAGACGAGGUGCAGAGCGGAACUGAAGUGCAUGGCUGCCGAAGACAUUGUUCAAAUGUAUACCAGAGGGGUUGUUAAAGGAAUGUAAAAGGUUGGCAGUAAGUUGAAGCAAUAGUUUUGUUUGGUUGAGGGAUUAGACGUCCGGUUAAGAGGGAAACACACGGUCGCGGACAAUUUGCAGCACACGUUUCAAUUUCCGAGCUCCGCGGCCCGGGGGGAGUUGGACAGACGUGGACCCCCUGGUUCGGAGACCUCCCCCUGGGUCAGAGCUGGUUUGAAGAAGGGCCUGAGGGAAAGUGGAUGGUCAUCAACAGACCGACCCAGCUGAGUUUAAUCUAGCAUCUUGGACUUGAACGGGCAAAACCGCAGAAUGGCCAGGAAGAGAGGAUAGUGCAUGGGAUGUGCCUACAGCAGAUAAGAAUAGCUUUGGCUAACUUCUCCAGGCCUGUAGACAUCUUGUUAUGCUGAAGUACGCAGAACAUCUGUGAUUUCUACGACAGUUUGGCAAUGAGGAUUGGACGGCUAGAGGUCUGGUUCAAUCUUUGGAUGGCUAAUGGUGUGGUUCAGGGAGCCCGAUUCACCAUGCUGAACAUAAAGAACUCAAGGGUGAGACUUAUUUGAUCGAGGAUAUAUGUGUAGACAAGAGAAUUGCUAUGAUAUGGCAUAAAUCUAUACAUGAAAGAUAAUGAAAACUGAACUAAAAUGAAAACUGAACUAAAAUGAAAACUGAACUAUUUUUGUUAAAAAACCAAAAUAUUAAAACAUUUAAAAAGAUAGUAGAGUAGCAAAUCCAACUGUAUAGUUUGGUGUACAGAUAUAGAGAAGUGUCCCUCAUGAACUAAAGCUCUUUUUUGUGUGUUAUCAUCUGUUUUGAGUACAAGUGACGGGGGAGCAGAUACACCAUGGGGACAGUCUGCAGUAAGAACAGAUACACCAUGGUGACGGUCUGCAGUAAGAACGGAUACACCAUGGGGACGGGCAGCAGUAAGAACGGAUACACCAUGGGGACGGCCAGCAGUAAGAACAGAUACACCAAGGGGCCGGGCAGCAAUAAGAAGAACGCCUGCCUGCCGGAUCCACUGAUCGGACCAGUAAAGAUAAUGGUGGUUAAGUGGGGCACGGAUGUCUCAGUGGGAUUGUGGCACAUAGUAUUUGAUUUUCUACUAAAAGGAACAUUUAGCGAGGUUAAGUUAAAAGAAUGUAGAUGGAAUUUGGAAAGAGUAAGAAUGGAUAGAAAAAAGGUUCCCUUUAUUAUUUGUCUGGUUAAUGUUAUCAUUUUUUUGCUUAAUAUGUGAGAGUAUAUCUUUUCAUGGCAACAUAUUAGCAUCACACAUGGGAUGUUUUGAAGUAUUAAGUAUGUGCAUCAUUUUGCACGGCAUGUCACAAAAAUGCAUUACUGAUGAGUCACAACGAUUAUUCCAGAUCUCAGUACUCUGCCCGCAUUCAGUCAGACUUCUCCCUCCUUUUCCUUUAUCACUC